rnacentral:rRNA from 1 species
CCUACGGGAGGCAGCAGUGGGGAAUAUUGGACAAUGGGCGAAAGCCUGAUCCAGCCAUGCCGCGUGUGUGAAGAAGGCCUUCGGGUUGUAAAGCACUUUCAGUGGGGAAGAAAGCCUUGGGGCUAAUACCCUCGAGGAAGGACAUCACCCACAGAAGAAGCACCGGCUAACUCCGUGCCAGCAGCCGCGGUAAUACGGAGGGUGCGAGCGUUAAUCGGAAUUACUGGGCGUAAAGCGCGCGUAGGCGGUCUGAUAAGCCGGUUGUGAAAGCCCCGGGCUCAACCUGGGAACGGCAUCCGGAACUGGCAGGAUAGAGGGCAGGAGAGGAAGGUAGAAUUCCCGGUGUAGCGGGGAAAUGCGUAGAGAUCGGGAGGAAUACCAGUGGCGAAGGCGGCCUUCUGGACUGACACUGACGCUGAGGUGCGAAAGCGUGGGUAGCAAACAGGAUUAGAUACCCGAGUAGUC